UACGAAGGGGGCUAGCGUUGUUCGGAUUUACUGGGCGUAAAGCACACGUAGGCGGUUUGGUCAGUUAGGGGUGAAAUCCUGGAGCUCAACUCCAGAACUGCCUUUAAUACUGCCAGUCUCGAGUCCGGAAGAGGUAAGUGGAACUCCUAGUGUAGAGGUGGAAUUCGUAGAUAUUAGGAAGAACACCAGUGGCGAAGGCGGCUUACUGGUCCGGUACUGACGCUGAGGUGCGAAAGCGUGGGGAGCAAACAGG
rnacentral:rRNA from 1 species